rnacentral:rRNA from 1 species
UACAGAGGGUGCGAGUCGUUGAUUCGAAUUGUGGCGUAAAGGGCGCGUAGGCGGUGCGGUAAGUCACCUGUGAAAUCUCCUGGCUCAACUGGGAGCUUGCAGGCGAAACUGCCGUGCUGGAGUGUGGGAGAGGUGCGUGGAAUUCCUGGUGUAGCGGUGAAAUGCGUAGAUAUCAGGAGGAACACCUGUGUCGAAAGCGGCGCACUGGACCACAACUGACGCUGAGGCGCGAAAGCUAGGGGAGCAAACAGG